CCGGGGUGAAUACGUUCCCGGGCCUUGUACACACCGCCCGUCACACCACGAAAGUCGGCAACACCCGAAGCCGGUGGCCCAACCCUUUUGGGGGGGAGCCGUCGAAGGUGGGGUCGGUGAUUGGGGUG
rnacentral:rRNA from 1 species